UACGAAGGGGGCUAGCGUUGCUCGGAAUCACUGGGCGUAAAGGGUGCGUAGGCGGGUCUUAAGUCAGGGGUGAAAUCCUGGAGCUCAACUCCAGAACUGCCUUUGAUACUGAGGAUCUUGAGUUCGGGAGAGGUGAGUGGAACUGCGAGUGUAGAGGUGAAAUUCGUAGAUAUUCGCAAGAACACCAGUGGCGAAGGCGGCUCACUGGCCCGGUACUGACGCUGAGGUGCGAAAGCGUGGGGAGCAAACAGG
rnacentral:rRNA from 1 species